ensembl:lncRNA
AGCCGCCAUUAUUGGUAGGGCAGUGUCAAGUGACAUCAACCACACUAGUGCCUUAUUAAAGCAUACACUGCCUCAGCCUAAAGUGCAACAGUUUGACACAAUCUGUUGUGACACAAAUGUCACACCAUGUAACAUGGGGAAAUGUUACACCACUUUUUGCAGGGAAUGAUUUCUGGCUACAACUCUUCUAUUAAGCCAUGUAAAGGUUUUAUGGCUGCUACUGUACAUUUUGUCAUUUAGGACAAACUAAUUUUAUUGAUAUGUAUGUAUGAUAUGUGUGUGUGUGUGUGUGUGUGUGUGUGUGUGUGUGUGUGUGUGUGUGUGUGUGUGUGUGUGUAUCUGUAUUUGUAAAAAAAAAAAUACUAGAAUAAUUAGGCUAUUUUUGUUGAGGAAUGCAAAAAAAAAAAAAAAAACUGUUUAUUGAUUAAUUGAGUGAUUGUUUGAGUUGCAGGACUUUUUUUAAGUUUUAGGGCUAUUUAUUUUUUGAGUUUUAGUCUUUGCCUUUUGGGGCUAAACGAUUUAAGAAAAAAAAAAAACUGUAAAAUUACAAUACUAUUAUUUACUGUAUGAUUUUUCAAAACAAAAAGAGGAUCCCAUUGCAAAAAAAUUAAAAAUAAAAAAAUAAAAAAAUAAAAUAAAAAUCCACAUCCAGGCACUCACAUAGCAAGCAAAGUAAAAACUCUUUAAUUAUAAGACAGGGCUACAUAUUAAAAAACACCAACGCAUAUCAGCCCAAGCAGGCCUUCAUCAGGGUUGGGCUGAUACGUGUUGGUGUUUUUUGAUAUGUAGCCCCGUCUUAUAAUUAAAGGUUUUUUAAUUUGCUUGCUAUGUGAGUGCCUGGAUGUGGAUUUUUCUGUUUUUGCAAUGGGAUCACUUUUUGUUUUUGACAAUUUGCUCCCUCUCUGGAGCACCCAUAGCCUUGCUUGUGAUUACCUGAUGCACCCUUGGUCAAUAUUUUUUUUUUUCUCUGACUAUUAUUUAUGAUUUUAUUUUGUGCUGGUUGCAGCUUUAAUUUCAAAUAAAAUCAACACAGUCAGACAUGGACAAGGGACAUGGAAAGUGUCAAAGUUCACAUUCAGGGAAGACAUUAACACACACUAACUUUAUUUACCAUGUUGUAAAACGUGGUACUACUGCACUAUAUGUGCUAUUCUGAAUGCAUAUUUUACAGCAAAUCUUUACUCCACAGCUGGCCAUAAGCAAAGACGACAUUGUUCCCAUUAUUACAUCUCAUAAUUUUUU